AAAAAGACAAACCCUAGGUUUCCGUGUCCAACGUUUAACCGUCCAUCUUAUUUGAAAAAAUUAUGAAAAAAAUAAAAAGAUAAGUCACGCAUAAAAUAUUAAUCAUGUUUUAUCAUCUAACAACAAUGAAAAUACUAAUUAUAAAAAAAAUCAUAUAAGACAGACAGUCAAACGUUGGACAUGGAAACCUAGGGUUUGUCUUUUU
rnacentral:pre_miRNA from 1 species